rnacentral:misc_RNA from 1 species
GCUCAACAUGUUGAUGAACUGAGGGAGCUAUUUGAAACCUGGGAACCAUUGUGCAGUAAAAUUUAUUUUGUCCUGCAAGCUGAACCAUUGAUUGGGAAAAUUCGAACCUGUAGCCUGGAAGUACUUGAGCUCCUUAAAUCUUCUCAUAAAAGCCUUCCUGCUGAUGUAACUUUGACAACUCUUGAGCUCUAUAUACUGAAAAUUAAGUAUGUUGAUUAUGAAUU